rnacentral:snoRNA from 1 species
UAAAUGCAAGGAGCCUUUAAAAAAAACCACCUUGGAAAUCUGAACAAAACGAGAACCACAACUUGUUCUCAUCGGAAACUGAGAUUA